GACGAACGCUGGCGGCGUGCCUAAUACAUGCAAGUAGAACGCUGAAGCGAGGAGCUUGCUCUUCUUGGAUGAGUUGCGAACGGGUGAGUAACGCGUAGGUAACCUGCCUUGUAGCGGGGGAUAACUAUUGGAAACGAUAGCUAAUACCGCAUAACAAUGGAUGACACAUGUCAUUUAUUUGAAAGGGGCAAUUGCUCCACUACAAGAUGGACCUGCGUUGUAUUAGCUAGUAGGUGAGGUAAUGGCUCACCUAGGCGACGAUACAUAGCCGACCUGAGAGGGUGAUCGGCCACACUGGGACUGAGACACGGCCCAGACUCCUACGGGAGGCAGCAGUAGGGAAUCUUCGGCAAUGGGGGCAACCCUGACCGAGCAACGCCGCGUGAGUGAAGAAGGUUUUCGGAUCGUAAAGCUCUGUUGUACGUCAAGAACGGGUGUGAGAGUGGAAAGUUCACACUGUGACGGUAGCUUACCAGAAAGGGACGGCUAACUACGUG
rnacentral:rRNA from 1 species